GUCAACCAUCCCGCCCUUUAGGGCGGGGCUUGCGGGUAAGCGCAGGCUCAGGUUGACCAGGGAAAGCGCUACCUAGUCCGCUACGUUGCAUGGAGAGCAAAAGACCGACGUUGGGAUGCUUCCUAAAGUCCCAACCUCUCGAA
rnacentral:ncRNA from 20 species